CCUACGGGAGGCAGCAGUGGGGAAUAUUGCACAAUGGGCGCAAGCCUGAUGCAGCCAUGCCGCGUGUAUGAAGAAGGCCUUCGGGUUGUAAAGUACUUUCAGCAGUGAGGAAGGGGGUGUCGUUAAUAGCGGCAUUUCUUGACGUUAGCUGCAGAAGAAGCACCGGCUAACUCCGUGCCAGCAGCCGCGGUAAU
rnacentral:rRNA from 1 species